rnacentral:snoRNA from 11 species
UAUGGAUCGGUGAUGUUUAUUUUAAACUGCGUUAUCUAUCCGAAUCUUCCCAAAGGAAUUGAAGAUAACCAUAUAUUGCUGAGAUCCAUU